UUCCGUUUGUUGGCAGUUAUGUGUCGUGUAUUCAAUAUGAGAACGAAUCGGAAAAGUAUGUCGUCGAGCAGGACUCCACCGUGAACUUCCACCAAAUAGAUGACUUCAACAAACAAAAGUUGUACGGUACUUUUUGGAAUGCGACGAGGCGGCACAUCUUACACGACAGAAACAAGGCAGGGUGAAUGAUUGACGCCGAAGCAGACGUAAAAUGGGUGGCAAACGACGUGCAGAAGAAAAAAAGGCAAGGCAGGGCAAACUAGCGAGAAGCACUGCACGAAGGCAUGCAGAAAAAAAUAUUGUUUCUAUCCCUGGAUUCCGCGAAAAUCAGUUUACGGAGCACACGAAAGUUCGAAAGGUAGAACGAGACGUGGAACAUUUACAGAGAGA